UACGUAGGCGGCGAGCAUUAUCCGGAUUUAUUGGGCGUAAAGCGAGUGUAGGCGGUUCUUCAAGUCGGAUGUGAAAUUUCCCGGCUUAACUGGGAAGGGUCAUUCGAUACUGUUGAACUAGAGGGUAGCAGAGGGAAACGGAAUUCCCGGUGUAGUGGUGAAAUGCGUAGAUAUCGGGAGGAACACCAGUGGCGAAGGCGGUUUCCUGGGCUAUUACUGACGCUGAGGCUCAAAAGCGUGGGGAG
rnacentral:rRNA from 1 species